rnacentral:rRNA from 1 species
UACGUAGGGGGCGAGCGUUGUCCGGAGUUACUGGGCGUAAAGGGCGCGCAGGCGGUCUGGUAAGUUUGGAGUGACAGUGCUCGGCUUAACUGAGCAAGGCCUUCGAAAACUGUCAGACUUGAGCACUCAAGAGGGACAUAGAAUUCCGGGUGGAGUGGUGAAAUGCGUAGAUAUCCGGAGGAAUACCAAAGGCGAAGGCAGUGUCCUGGGGAGUGUCUGACGCUCAGGCGCGAAAGCUAGGGGAGCGAACGGG